rnacentral:lncRNA from 1 species
GGGCGUAGGGGUGGAGGUGGUCCACCAUAAUAGCAAGGCCCCCCACCAACGCCAUGAUAGCAUUCCGUGCAACAGCAUCCGAUGGGGGGAUAAGCCAUUGGUGGUGGAGGACAAGGUUCUGGAACCUUUGGUGGUGGUGGUGGUGGUGGUUCUUUUGGUUUCUCAGGUUCCUUAGGCUUUUCGGGUUCUUUCGGCUUUUCGGGUUGUUUCGGUUUCUCGGGUUCUUUGGGUUUUUCGGGUUCUUUCGGCUUUUCGGGUUGUUUAGGUUUCUCGGGUUCUUUGGGUUUUUCGGGUUCUUUUGGUUUUUCUGGUGCUUUAGGCUUUUCGGGUUCUUUUGGUUUUUCUGGUACUUUAGGCUUCUCAGGUUCUUUGGGUUUUUCAGGUUCUUUGGGCUUUUCGGGUUCUUUAGGCUUCUCAGGCUCCUUGGGUUUGGGAGGAGGAGGUGGAGGUUUGAUCUCAAUGCUCUUGAUUGAUCCAGCACCCUUGCAACAUAUCUUGUCCCUCAGCUUCUCAGGAUUGCAGCAUACCACGGUAAUGGUCACGGUGUUGGUUUUCUCAUCGUAUAUCUGGUCUCGUAUUUCUCUUGUUCGCAAAAACCCAUCAUCAAAAAAUUAUCAACUUAAACCAGUUCACACUUCACUGUCUUCAGCUCAAUCAUAAAAUAAAUAAAAAAACUACUUUGCAAUUAUUAAAAUGCUAAACACACAAAGGACAAGCAUAAAAAUCAGGAAACGGGAACUCACGAGGGAAUUUACACAGCACUUUCUUCACUUUCUUGUAG